GAGGCCAGUGAUGAGGACUUUUCCCACUUGUGUUCGAGUUUCCGGACCAUGAGAUGACUCCACAUGCACUACCAUCUGAGGCUGC